GACGAACGCUGGCGGCGUGCUUAACACAUGCAAGUCGAACGGAAAGGCCUCUUUCGGUGGGUCCUCGAGUGGCGAACGGGUGAGUAACACGUGAGUAACCUGCCCUUUACUUUUUGAUAACUUCUGUAAACUGUGGCUAUUACCUGAUAUCAGCUCCUGCUUCAUGGUGGGGGUUGGAAAGUUUCGGCGGUUGGGGAUGGACUCGCGGCUUAUCCGCUUGUUUGUGUGGUAGUGGGUUACCAAGGCGUUGACGGGUAUCCGGACUGAGGGGGUGACCGGCGAAAAAGGGACUGAGAGAAGGCACAGAAGGGGAAGGGAGGAAGAAGGGGGGAAUAUUGAACAAGGGGUGGAAGGCGGAUGAAGCAAGGCCGUGGGCGGGAAGACGGCGUUGGGGGUGAAAACAGGAUGCGGUCAUGAAGAAGGAUGGUGUGACGGUAGUGGGUAAAGAAGCACCGGCUAACUACGUG
rnacentral:rRNA from 1 species